UACGUAGGGCGCAAGCGUUGUCCGGAAUUAUUGGGCGUAAAGAGCUCGUAGGUGGUUUGUCGCGUCCGCUGUGAAAACCCGAGGCUCAACCUCGGGCCUGCAGUGGGUACGGGCAGACUAGAGUGCGGUAGGGGAGACUGGAAUUCCUGGUGUAGCGGUGGAAUGCGCAGAGUAUCAGGAGGAACACCGAUGGCGAAGGCAGGUCUCUGGGCCGCAAGCUGACACUGAGGAGCGAAAGCAUGGGGAGCGAACAG
rnacentral:rRNA from 1 species